UUUUCCGGUUGAUCCUGCCGGAGACUACCGCUAUCGGAGUCCGAUUUAGCCAUGCUAGUCCACCGAGCCCUUGAGGUUCGGGGCGAAAAGCUGAGUAACACGUGGCCAACCUACCCUGUGGACAGGAAUAACCUCGGGAAACUGAGGAUAAUGCCUGAUAGCAGAACCAUGCUGGAAAUGCGGGUUCUGUGAAAUGACACGUCGCCACAGGAUGGGGCCGCGGCUGAUUAGGUUGUCGGUGAGGUAACGGCUCACCGAGCCCGUAAUCAGUAGCAGCCGUGGGAGCGGUAGCUGCCAGUCGUGUUCUGAGACAAGAACACGGGCCCUACGGGGCGCAGCAGGCACGAAACCUUUACAAUGCACGCGAGUGCGAUAGGGGGACUCCGAGUGCGUUCUUCCCACAAGGAAGGACGCUUUUCUGCACUGUAAGGAGGUGCAGGAACAAGGGGUGGGCAAGACUGCUGCCAGCCGCCGCGGU
rnacentral:rRNA from 1 species